rnacentral:rRNA from 2 species
CACGUAGGGACCAAGCGUUGUCCGGAUUUAUUGGGCGUAAAGAGCUCGUAGGCGGUUCAGUCAGUCGGGUGUGAAAACUUCGGGCUUAACUCGAAGCAUGCAUCCGAUACUGCUGUGACUUGAGUCCGGUAGGGGAGUGGGGAAUUCCUGGUGUAGCGGUGAAAUGCGCAGAUAUCAGGAGGAACACCGGUGGCGAAGGCGCCACUCUGGGCCGGUACUGACGCUGAGGAGCGAAAGCGUGGGUAGCAAACAGG